UCCCAGUGAAGCUGUGCUAUAGUUUUGCUCGUCUGAUUUGAUGAGUCAUAAAUGGAUUUAAUUUCCAGCAUUCUUUGACUGCAGGGAAUCUUACUCUUAAGUGUGUGGCAGAAGACCUUUCAAAAGCCCUCAGCAUGGAGAUGGAUUCAACUCCCAAGCAUCUACCUAAUUUCCAGACUGAAAGUAUGGACUACCGGGGUGCAGCUUUGAUAAUAAGUAGAAGAGUAGUACCAAGGAGAGCUGUGACCAGCAAACAUACUACAUGGCUGUGAUGUCAUUCAUGGGACAGAAAAAAUUGCACAUCUUCACACUGGCUCACCGACUUUGGGUAUGGGAAGUACUAACAAAGAGAUAUGUGUGUACAUGAAGUACAUCCAUAGUGAAUCUUGAGUAAAAGGACUGGGCAGAAGAAUGAAGAACUGAAGGUCUUCAGGUACUUACUAGUAAACUAGCUCUUGAGCAAUCUCUUUUCACUACUCUUCCAUUUCUUACUUUAAGUCUCUGCUUUUAAAGAGCUACAGUCUUCCAUCAUUGCCUUUGUCUUGCAUUCUUAUGUGAAAACUUAAUACUUGAACAUAUAAUGGGAUUAACCAUAUGCUUAAAGUUAAGCACACAUUUAAGAAUGGUCAUGAAUAGGAAUGCUUUCCUGAAUCUGUUAGUCUCAGUCCAGCACUAAAGACUUUAUUCAGCUUCCUUUAAGUUUCCCAUCAAGACUCAAUUUGACUUUAAUAGGAUCUAAAUGAAGCCCUAAUUAAACAUAUCUCAGAAUUAUUACAAAUCUCUAUACUGUAUAAAUCAGGAUGUCACAUUAUUUAAAUUUAAAAAGUAAUAUAUGGCUAACACAUUGUUUCCUGAAGCAAAACAUCUGAUUUAAAAAUAACUCAUAAGAUUAUGUUUUUAGUGCUGUUAGAGGUGUAGACCUUCAUGCUUGUGUUGCUUGUUUAUAAGAAGAUUGUUACGUGAUUAUCUUGAAUCGUCAUUGCUUUGUAGAUGUUUUUGUUUUAAACAGAAAUGUCAAAUCUUGCUCUUAGUCUGACUUUCAUUUUUAGUUUUAAUAUUCAUUAGAAACUAACUUAGACAUUCAAAAAAUGUAUUUAGAUUAUUUGUGUUCUUAAAGAUUUUUGUGCCUAAUUUGCAACACACUGUUAAAAUUGCCAUUUGUACCCUGACUUACCCAUGAAAUCCAUUGUCCCUCUGUUUUAUUUUGAGUUUAGCUUAUUUCUAUAAAUACGUUAAAGGAAUAAAUGGCUUAUGAAAAACAA